GAAGGUCUGGCCCUUCGGAGCCGCUCUGCGGUGGAAGGCUUCAAACCACCACAUGCUGCGUUGGCUGACGACCGUCGUGGUGAGCGAUGUGGAAAAGGCGCACAGGAUGCGUCAGGU
rnacentral:ncRNA from 1 species